rnacentral:tRNA from 1 species
GCGCUCGUAGCUCAGUUGGAUAGAGCAACGGCCUUCUAAGCCGUGGGUCGCAGGUUCGAGUCCUGCCGGGCGCG